rnacentral:rRNA from 1 species
AACGAACGCUGGCGGCAGGCCUAACACAUGCAAGUCGAGCGAAGCCUUCGGGCUUAGCGGCGGACGGGUGAGUGACGCGUGGGAACGUGCCCUUUGGUACGGAAUAGCCCCGGGAAACUGGGAGUAAUACCGUAUGUGCCCUUCGGGGGAAAGAUUUAUCGCCAAAGGAUCGGCCCGCGUUGGAUUAGGUAGUUGGUGGGGUAAUGGCCUACCAAGCCGACGAUCCAUAGCUGGUUUGAGAGGAUGAUCAGCCACACUGGGACUGAGACACGGCCCAGACUCCUACGGGAGGCAGCAGUGGGGAAUCUUAGACAAUGGGGAAAACCCUGAUCUAGCCAUGCCGCGUGAUCGAUGAAGGCCUUAGGGUUGUAAAGAUCUUUCAGUGGGGAAGAUAAUGACUGUACCCACAGAAGAAGCCCCGGCUAACUACGUGCCAGCCGCCGCCGUAAAAC